GUACAUCUAACAUGGGUCUUGCUGUUAACACUAUUACAUAUGGGCUCCUGGCAUUUUCCAAAGCCCAUCUCCUCUCAUGCGUAAACAAAGAGACCUGUGUUCAUCCAGAAUGGCUAUAGAGUAGUAGUCCUGUCCUUUAUACUUCUCGAUUGAAGAGUGGCGACAUCUUCUUCCCCUCCGAUAUCUUGCCACGGCCAUAUCUUAUCUUAGCCUGGUGCAAAGUCACAAGGUUAGGGACUUGUUGCUGCCAAGUUCAGCUUUGCCUUGUUUGUCUCCAGCAGCGUGGGCUCUGUCUCCUUUCUCCUCACCAAGGGAGGACUUCAGGCAGGAUUUCUUUUCUACUGUAGCAAGCAGGGCCACAGGGUAGCAGAACGUUAUCAAAGGUCCGACAACCAGUCCAGCAAACAAGAUGUGCAGCAAAGGCACCGAGUGACACUGCUACGCUCUCUCUGCCUCYUUUCGGUCCUUCUAGCAUCGCAACCCAGAAGUGCUUGAAACACAGAGCUACCAACAGAUGGACAAGCAGCAGGGAAGAAAGAGGCAAAACAGAUAUUCAAGCUUUGGUGGCACUCAGAGUUGGAUAACAUUGGCAAUUCAGGCUCAAAAUGGGGAGGAGCAGAGAGCUAACGAGUGAAGAAGGGGAAAUCCUGAAUUAAUCUAGUCUUGAUUUUGACUACACCUGGCUGCUGCCUCCAGCAGCCACG
rnacentral:lncRNA from 1 species